rnacentral:rRNA from 1 species
AGCGCAGGCGGGAAACUAAGCGGAUCUUAAAAGUGCGGGGCUCAACCCCGUGAGGGGGUCCGAACUGGUUUUCUUGAGUGCAGGAGAGGAAAGCGGAAUUCCCAGUGUAGCGGUGAAAUGCGUAGAUAUUGGGAAGAACACCAGUGGCGAAGGCGGCUUUCUGGACUGUAACUGACGCUGAGGCUCGAAAGCUAGGGUAGCGAACG